GAGCGGAAAGGCCCUUCGGGGUACUCGAGCGGCGAACGGGUGAGUAACACGUGAGUAAUCUGCCCCAGGCUCUGGGAUAGCCACCGGAAACGGUGAUUAAUACCGGAUACGACAACCGAUUGCAUGAUCUGGUUGUGGAAAGUUUUUCGGCCUGGGAUGUGCUCGCGGCCUAUCAGCUUGUUGGUGAGGUAAUGGCUCACCAAGGCUUCGACGGGUAGCCGGCCUGAGAGGGUGACCGGCCACACUGGGACUGAGACACGGCCCAGACUCCUACGGGAGGCAGCAGUGGGGAAUAUUGGACAAUGGGCGGAAGCCUGAUCCAGCAACGCCGCGUGAGGGAUGACGGCCUUCGGGUUGUAAACCUCUUUCAGCACAGACGAAGCGCAAGUGACGGUAUGUGCAGAAGAAGGACCGGCCAACUACGUGCCAGCAGCCGCGGUAAUACGUAGGGUCCGAGCGUUGUCCGGAAUUAUUGGGCGUAAAGGGCUCGUAGGCGGUCUGUCGCGUCGGGAGUGAAAACCAGGUGCUUAACACCUGGCCUGCUUUCGAUACGGGCAGACUAGAGGUACUCAGGGGAGAAUGGAAUUCCUGGUGUAGCGGUGAAAUGCGCAGAUAUCAGGAGGAACACCGGUGGCGAAGGCGGUUCUCUGGGAGUAUCCUGACGCUGAGGAGCGAAAGUGUGGGGAGCG
rnacentral:rRNA from 1 species